rnacentral:rRNA from 1 species
UGGGGAAUCUUCCGCAAUGGACGAAAGUCUGACGGAGCAACGCCGCGUGAGUGAAGAAGGUUUUCGGAUCGUAAAACUCUGUCUUUUGGGGCGAACGUGAGUAUGGUGAACAAUCAUAGUCAGUGACGGUACCAAAGGAGGAAGCCACGGCUAACUACGUGCCAGCAGCCGCGGUAAUACGUAGGUGGCAAGCGUUGUCCGGAAUUAUUGGGCAGUAAAGAGCGCGUAGGCGGGAUAGUCAGUCUGUUGUAAAAGUGCGGGGCUCAACCCCGUGAUGGCAAUGGAAACAGCUAUUCUUGAGUGCAGGAGAGGAAAGUGGAAUUCCCAGUGUAGCGGUGAAAUGCGUAGAUAUUGGGAGGAACACCAGUGGCGAAGGCGACUUUCUGGACUGUGUCUGACGCUGAGGCGCGAAAGCCAGGGGGAGCGAACGGGAUUAGAUACCCCCGGUAGUCCUGGCCGUAAACGAUGGGGUACUAGGUGUGGGGAGGUAUCGACCCCCUUUCCGUGCCGGAGUUAANGCAAUAAGUACCCCCGCCUGGGGAGUACGGUCGCAAGACUGAAACUCAAAGGAAUUGACGGGGGUCAUAGCUGUUUCCUG